CACGUAGGCGGCUUUGUAAGUUAGAGGUGAAAGCCUGGAGCUCAACUCCAGAAUUGCCUUUAAGACUGCAUCGCUUGAAUCAUGGAGAGGCGGGUGGAAUUCCGAGUGUAGAGGUGAAAUUCGUAGAUAUUCGGAAGAACACCAGUGGCGAAGGCGGCCCGCUGGACAUGUAUUGACGCUGAGGUGCGAAAGCGUGGGGAGCAAACA
rnacentral:rRNA from 1 species